rnacentral:rRNA from 1 species
AGUGAACGCUGGCGGUAGGCCUAACACAUGCAAGUCGAACGGCAGCACAGUAAGAGCUUGCUCUUACGGGUGGCGAGUGGCGGACGGGUGAGGAAUACAUCGGAAUCUACUUUUUCGUGGGGGAUAACGUAGGGAAACUUACGCUAAUACCGCAUACGACCUACGGGUGAAAGCAGGGGAUCUUCGGACCUUGCGCGAUUGAAUGGGCCGAUGUCGGAUUAGCUAGUUGGCGGGGUAAAGGCCCACCUAGGCGACGAUCCGUAGCUGGUCUGAGAGGAUGAUCAGCCACACUGGAACUGAGACACGGUCCAGACUCCUACGGGAGGCAGCAGUGGGGAAUAUUGGACAAUGGGCGCAAGCCUGAUCCAGCCAUACCGCGUGGGUGAAGAAGGCCUUCGGGUUGUAAAGCCCUUUUGUUGGGAAAGAAAAGCAGCAGGUUAAUACCCCGCUGUUCUGACGGUACCCAAAGAAUAAGCACCGGCUAACUUCGUG